GAUGAAGAACGCAGCGAAAUGCGAUACUUGGUGUGAAUUGCAGAAUCCCGUGAACCAUCGAGUCUUUGAACGCAAGUUGCGCCCGAAGCCAUUAGGCCGAGGGCACGCCUGCCUGGGCGUCACACGUCGUUGCCCCCCCAUCUACUCCUUUGGGAUUGCGGGGGGCGGAUGAUGGCCUCUCGUGCGCCUCGUCGCGCGGUUGGCCUAAAUGCCAAGUCCUCGGCGACGCACGCCACGACAAUCGGUGGUUGCGAAACCUCGGUUGCCUGUCGUGUGCGGUCGUCGCGCAUCGAGGGCUCGAAAAAAUUGCCGGGCUCCGGCUCGGCUUUCAACGCGACCCCAGGUCAGGCGGGGUUACCCGCUGAAUUUAAGCAUAUCAAUAAGCGGAGGA
rnacentral:misc_RNA from 1 species